UAUUCAUCCAUGUACGCUCACAAAGUGAGUGUGUUUGUGUGUAAUAAUUUUUUUUGUAUCUUAGUUUCUUUGGCCAUUUCUCCAUUUUUGUGUUAUUUAAUAUGACAUUAUUGUCGUAGUAUACAUUUUCUGUCGACGAUGUGAACGAACAAUGUAAGUUUACAGUCAACUUAAAAACAUUAAAUAAUGGGUGAAAUAUUUGUCACCGUUCGCAGUUCGCACAAUUAGAAAUGUGGCACUUCAUCAUCUCGAGGAUUUAUUUCAAGGAGAAAGUAUUUGUCGGCGAAAUGCAGGAGGAAACGUUACUGAGCAUUCAAAAACGUUUUAAAAUUCAUCGGUGUGAUGUGAACAUGUGCAAGUUCUUCCAAAUGUCGAGGGUUGAAGGAGAGGGGUAAUAUAUUGUAGACAUUGUUAUUAUUUGCACUAAAAACAAAGAAGACUUUGUUAUCAGAGAAAAGGACGAGUGACAGGUGGUAGAGAACGGAAAACAAUUUUCAACAGGUUUGCAAGAUCAGCGAGUAUAAUCAUUUGAGUAUGCACCGAUGAACAUUGUAACAAACACUUUCCUUAAUUUCUAAACCAAACUUUGUUUGUAUUUAAGACAGGUACACUUUUACCUAUCGAAGAUAUAUGUUAAUUUUGGAGACAAUGACAAAAAACCUUUAAAAACUCUAGCACGUUUAAAAAAUAUCCAAUUCUUAUCAGUUGUAUAUUGGCUUUUUAAGGAUAAUCAAAACGCAUCCUUUAUCACCUUACAUCAAAGAACCGACAAGCAUCAUAUAUUGCUUUUAGAAGAAAAGCGACGUUUGUGCUUUCUAGAAAACAGUCAAAAACAUCAGAACAUAUGAAACACUCUCAGAAGUCAUAUCCUUGUUUGAAAAGCGACAGAACGUCUUAUCUAUUUUUUUUAGCUUUUAAAAGAGACAAUUUUGCUAAAAUCGAUCUGCAUAGUAAAGCAUAGAAUAACAAUGCGAAGUGUAAUGUUGUCCUACUUUUACAUACACGUGCACGUACACCCUCCCGUCGGUCAAUCUCGAAAAAGGUGGAUUACUAUUUUAAUUAUGCCCAGUUAAGCUUGUCUUUUGGGAAACUAAAGAUACCCAUGAAAACUCAAAUUUAACUGGACAAGCUACGAAGAGCGAAACAUCAAACAUGUAACCACUGAUAAAGUGUUGCCCAUGCUGGAAGGACCGAGAAAAAUUGAUUAUUGGCGAUGAUUCUUUAUUCAUUGCAGUUAUUCCCAAAAAGCAAUUGCGUGGUUUGUCGUUUUAUUUACACUACAUUAUGGCUUUAUGAGCUCAUUGAGCUGUGCACCAUAUCACUUAAUCAUUGCUGCCGUCAAGGUUUUUCGGAUGUAGAAAAAUCCUCUGAAAUUCCUCUUAAAUGUAUAUUUUGUACACAUUUACUUUUUAUUGUAGGAAUAAAGAUUAUAUUUUUGAAAA